CAAUUACAAAGUUCCUUGCAUUGAUUUUUGCUUGCGAAGGAGUAAUAGUUAAACAAUUCCUUGCCAGAUAAAAGGUAGCAAUGCUCCAACUACCCAGUGACCAGGCAUCGCCCCAAUAUGUCUCAAAGGAGUGGAAUGAAUGGAAAGGGAGGGCAAGAGGCUGCGGUGGUACCCCAUUCUGACACUGGCCCCCACCUCCCACGGGAGGGGAGUGUGGGACUGGAACGGGGCCCUAUUCCAUUAGGAAUGUGGGUGAUAGGAUGCUUUACUCAUAUUUUAUUUUAUUUUUAUUGGGAGAGGGUCUUGUUAUAUAGCUCAGACUGGCUUUGAACUCAUUAUGUAGCCCAAGCUGGCCUCAAACUCAUGGCAAUCCUCCUGCCUCAGCCUCCUGGUUGCUGAGGUUACAGGUGUGUGUCACCAUGCCUGGCAGAUGUUUUACUCCUAUUUUAGUCAGCCCAAGAAAUUCACAAUAUUUAUGAUUAAGCUCAGAAAGUCCGUAUCCAAAAGGUCAUGGAACAUAAAAAAUUGUAUACAAAUCGAAUAGCUGUUGGAGUUUCUAGAAUAUUUUCAGAAAAACCAAACUGAGGGACCAUUUGGAUUAAGUGGUAUCCUGGCAUCUCCAGAAGGAAUACGGGGUUCUCCACAUGCCCUGGGCCUUCCUGCCUUUCCCCUUCAGGGCCUGGUGUGGGUCACCCACAGGAGAGGCUGCAUGAAGGGCCCCAGGAUGGGUGGUGGCCGGGCGACUCCCUGGAAAUGGAUGGGCCGCUGUUCCAGGCCUAGCACCCUCUGGGGAGCAAAGUUCUGUCAGAGCUAGGAACAUCGCCACCUCCCAGCAGCAGCUGCAAGUCAGGAACCCCGGUGAGUCACCCCCGCACCUCUGCGCUGUGUUCUUGACCAGGGGCCAGCAUUGCCACUCACAAGGGUGACCCAAAACGGUGGUGAAUGUUUAAAUGAAAGAAAACUUCCAAUAGUAAAAGACACGGUGCCAAGAACAAUGGGAGGGGCCAGGGAUGUAGCUCAGUGGCACCACGCCUGCCUGGCAAGCGCAAGGUCCUGGGUUCAAUCCCUGGUACCAAUAACAAUAAUAAUAAUUCCAAAUCAAUGAGAGAAGUGUGGUUCAAGUGAAGGGCAGCAGUCUGAGUAUCUAGAGGGUCUAAUGCAAUGGGUCUUAGUGCAACAAAUUUUUAAAAUCUAAACAUUCCAAAAAUUUUUGAUCACCAAGUGCUGAUCAACUGGUUAUGGCAAUUUCUGUCAAAGGAAAACCUGACACUGCGUACUCAUGCACUUUAGUCACCGAUCUGGCACAAUGUGACUCCCAGCUCUUCCCCAAAGUCAAAAUGACCAGGAAGGGAAACAUUCUGAAUGCAUUCAGGACAUCGAGGCAGCCAGGACAGCGCAGCCAAAGACACUCAGGAGAGAGGGCUCCAGAGCCGCUGCAGGAAGGGGCAAGGAGGAUGGGAUGGGUGUGUUGGAAGCAAAGAGGAGAAUUUUGAGAGGAUUCAUGGCAUUAUGUGUUUUACUGUAACAAAUUUUUUUUAAAUGUAGGCAUUCACUGUGUUUGUUGAUCACACCUUGUAUGGGGCCCUGGAGGUGGGCAUCCUGGAGAGGGAGGGGACAGAGGGAAAAGCAAGGUGCCCCAUGGAACAGAGCGAGCCCACCCAGGUCCCUGCUCACUGUAAAACCUGGUUGUCCCGGAAAGAGACAGGCCACUGUCUCUGGCUGGCACCAGGGAAGGGCACCCCACGUGCAGCCUAAAUGCCAGCUGACCUGGCAAAGCUGAGCCAGUCCCUGAAGCACUGGACACUGAGUUUGAUACAGAAUAUUUUAUUAGCAGUCUUCACUGCUGAAGUGUAUCUCAGCCUCUACUCACACAUUCUGCAUCUCCCACGGGCCCUCUGGGCUUUGCUUUACUUUCUGUCCCUUUCCCACUGAGCUGGCUAUGACGAGAGGCCCAGUGGGUUUUGCUCACCCCGGUUCCGUCGGCAGCACAGGCACGAAAUGAGAAGAGACUCUCUCUCCUUGGGGAUGAGGGCAGCAAGGCAGAGGGACCCACCAAGCAACACCCUGGCGCAGGCCUGCACACAUGAACAGACACCUGUGUGCCGCGUGUGCAAAUGCACACACACACAUGCACAGCAGAAGCUGGCCAGUGGCUGUGCUGGGAAGUUGAGCCCAGGCAGGGGUAGGAUGCCCUCUCCGUGGCAGGGCGAGGUCAGCCCCAAGUGGUGACCUCUCCCUUGAGCUGGGUGUGGUGCGGACACCUCCCCGCUCCGCCUGCGCCUGCUGGUAACCCCCCCCCCCCUCCAGCUCCAGGCCUGGGCACACUGUUGCAUGGCUCCUCGCCUCAGCAUCCUGCACCUGCCAGGAGAGGACAGCCAAGCGGCCAUGUGCUGGGGCCAAGCCCAGAGCCCCCACCUGCCCGGGUCGACAGCCAGGCAACCCAGCACCCGGUCCUCCGGGAGGAGCCUGCUUCCGCUCCGCACCUGGGCUGGGAGAACACCCUUUCACUGGGCUUCUAGAUGAGCUUUGACCUGGAAGCUCUGUGUUCCAUUUCCUGAUCCUGAAGCUGGGCCCCCAAGGUGAAGGAUUCGGAUUUGGGGCCACAGAGCCCUGGUGGUACAAGGCUCAAGAUGGCUCCCCCACCCCGGCGACCUCUGGGAGCUUAAUUCUCUCUGUGGAAUUGGGCAGAGGGAGGAGAGACGAGGCAGCACAUGCUGGGUGUGGGAGCAAGAGGAGGCUCCCUGGGCAGGAGCCCGUGCACCCCCUUUCUCCUCCAGCAAGUUUCCUUGGAGCACACCCCCUGGACUGCAGUGCCCUCCACUGACACUGGGGGGCGCACGUCCACCCGGCUUUCACGCUUCCUUUCAGUGGAGGAGAAAGGUGUAUGUGGCCCCUACAGUCAGAGGCCCCUGAGGCGUCAGAUCUGGGGAGUCUGGGCUGCAAUCCCAGCGGAGGGAACAGAGCUCACCACUGCCGCCUCUUCCCACGAUGAUUCAGGAAAUCAUCCUGGAUGGCCUGCCGUGGACCGGCUUAGGUCCCAGGAGUAAGGGGUCCCUUUCAAACCAGAGCACAAGCAAGGAGCUGGCCCAGAAAGCCAGAUGACAGCCUGUGAGCCCUGGAAGCAGAGGGAGCCAGGGAGCUGCACCCAGGCCUUGUGGACAGGGGAAGAGGACCAGGGUCACCCUGUCACGCCAGCCAGGCCUCCUGAGGACCCCGCUGACAGGGGCCACCUCCCUCCCUGUCCCCUGCUCUCCGAGUCCUUUAUAAAACCGAUCCUGUGUCGCCCUGUCCAGGCCACCGGCCCUCCUGUCCCACGACGGGUCUUUUGGGGAUCCUGGCCAGACCCUCACUUACACAGGGUGGGAAUAACUGCUCCCGGUGGAGAGUGGGCUGCAGGGAGUGCGGAGUCCCUAGGGAAAAGGUUUCCUGAGGGCUGGGGUGCUUGUGGAGCCCGGAUGUGCACAUGGGGGAACCGCACUGUUUCUGACAUGGGUGCGAGGGGACGCUGUCUUUGGGAUAGCCCCGUGGCCCCACCGGGCACAGUACCUGGGAGGUCAGACCCUCCUUGAGGUCACAGACCACAGCCCCACAACACCAAGCCACACAGGAAAGGCUAGGGGGACAGGUUUCUCCCGGUACCGACCUCAAUCAAGGACUUCUCUUUGCCCUUCCUGUGUAUUUCUCUAGCAACUGCUAAGCAGACCUUCCAUGCACAUGGCAAUUACACUCGAAAUUAAAUCAAGACUUUAUUUAUAAAGGCUAAGUUGGACCCUGGUUAAAAACUGAAUCUAAGGCAACCCUCUAUUUGUAUAGAACAAGCAAGCUUAAUAGUACAGCUUAAUAUAGAUUUCAACUGUGUUUGCUAAAAAAAAGAUCUAGAAGUGAAAAAAAAUAAGAAAUCUCUAAGUGUUUUUAAAGCCAAAUCCACAGAGACAGGCAACUCUGGACCCUUUCCAUUCUCUAUAUGAGUAGGAAAUGAAGGCUUCGGGAAUCGCUCAGCCUUUCAGACCUGAACAGGACCUUGAGCAUGAUCUAGCACAAUUAUUUACAGAUGAGAAAACUGUGGCUCAAGGGAAGUUAGCUGACCUGUCACUAAGGGAAGCCUUUCAAGGGCCACCCUGAUGCGAGGGUCCCGGCACCCUGGAAGGAGAAGGUGACUCUGUCUUCCUAAUGGGGACCUUGUGGCCAAACCCACCCUUUCCAGCCGGCCCAGGUCCCUCCAGCUCCAGCUGCCCCAAGGCUCCAGGGUCCCACCCCAAACUUCCCCCAGCUCAGCUUCCCAGCUACAGUGGAGGUAGUCCAUGUGAUAGAUGAGGAAAGAAAAUAUUCUUUAAAAAUCAACUGGGCUGACCUGCAUGAUAUUUUUUUAGGCAAAAUGAAGGUGGUCAGAAAUUUGGGAAGAAAUCAUCUUUUGCUUAAAAUAAGAAGCAGAUGGGAAAGGAAAUGCCACAGAAGAGUUCGCCAGUUUCAUCUGAGAACUGUUUGUGUGACACUCAGGGAUCCUGCAGCACAGCCACUGUCCCCACCCAGAGCCUGCAUCUGACUGUUCACAGGUCCUACCCAGAAAGGAGGCCGCGGUGGGUGGGUUGCAGGCAGGCGGGCAGGCGGGUCCAACUCCCCUGUCUCUCAACACAGUCAGUUAUUUACCCUGAACACGUCCCUCACUAAUGCUAAAGAUACACUUCCUAAAAUGAAUAAAAUUUAUCAACUUUUGGCUCUGAAAGUGACUUCGUCAGAAAAGAGACAAAUCUUAGAAAACCAGGAGAAAGAAGUCAUAAAACGGACCCCUCCUUGCUGGGCCUUCUGCCCCCCACGGCCUGGACUCCCCAGGUGACCCACAGAGAAGCUGUCCUGGCUCCCCAUCCAGACUAUGUCACCUCCACAGCAGGACAAAAUUGGCGGGGAAGGCCUCUUGUCACCAGCUUGUUGCAAUGUUAAAAUUCUGCCCCAGUUUUUGGGUGUUUUAAAUCAGCCUUCAUGUAAAAACAAAACCCUUCUGCAUCUUCCUAGUUAAAGCUAGAAAAGGUAGU
ensembl:lncRNA